rnacentral:rRNA from 1 species
AUGCCGGGGUGUAGCAUAAGUGGGAGGCGGGGAUAACGCGGCGUCCGUCGAGAGGCGGGCGUCGUGCCUCGCUCGACCUUGAAAUACCACUACUCGCAUCGUUUCCUUACUUACUCGAUUGUGCGGAGCGCGUGCUGCGCGGUCAGUGGUUCGGCCGCUUGGUCUCGACGUCGGCCUCGUGUCGCGCGUCCCGAUCUCGCGCGUCGGAUCCGUUACGACCGUCAGUUACGAUCGAUUCCCGGUCGACUUAAGCGCGAUUAUCGCCGCCAUGCGCUUCCUCCGGUCUACGGCGGGGACGCGGGCCACAGCCUUUCGGGGUCGCGGUUCGCGCUCUCGUCGCCCGGAGAGCCUGACGACGUCGCGUGAUCCGAUUCGAGGACACCGCCAGGUGGGGAGUUUGGCUGGGGCGGUACAUCUGUCAAAGAAUAACGCAGGUGUCCUAAGGCCAGCUCAGCGAGGACGGAAACCUCGCGUAGAGCAAAAGGGCAAAAGCUGGCUUGAUCCCGGACGCUCAGUACGCGUAGGGACUGCGAAAGCAUCGGCCUAUCGAUCCUCUCGUCCGCUGAAGGGUUUUCABCGAGAGGGGUCAGAAAAGUUACACAGGGAUAAYUKMUKGAWGGCRHMWAC